rnacentral:rRNA from 1 species
ACUGUACCGUAACAAUAAGGAUCGGCUAACUCCGUGCCAGCAGCCGCGGUAAUACGGAGGAUCCGAGCGUUAUCCGGAAUUAUUGGGUUUAAAGGGUGCGUAGGCGGCCAGAUAAGUCAGGGGUGAAAGUCGGCAGCUCAACUGUCGCAGUGCCUUUGAUACUGUUUGGCUUGAAUUCGGUUGAAGAUGGCGGAAUGAGACAAGUAGCGGUGAAAUGCAUAGAUAUGUCUCAGAACCCCGAUUGCGAAGGCAGCUAUCUAAGCCGUUAUUGACGCUGAUGCACGAAAGCGUGGGGAGCAAACAGGAUUAGAUACCCUGGUAGUCCACGCCCUAAACGAUGAUAACUCGAUGUUGGCGAUAUACAGUCAGCGUCUUAGCGAAAGCGUUAAGUUAUCCACCUGGGGAGUACGCCGGCAACGGUGAAACUCAAAGGAAUUGACGG